rnacentral:rRNA from 1 species
AACGAACGCUGGCGGCAUGCCUAACACAUGCAAGUCGAACGAGAUCUUCGGGUCUAGUGGCGCACGGGUGCGUAACGCGUGGGAAUCUGCCCUUGGUUCGGAAUAACAGUUGGAAACGACUGCUAAUACCGGAUGAUGACGAAAGUCCAAAGAUUUAUCGCCAGAGGAUGAGCCCGCGUAGGAUUAGCUGGUUGGUGUGGUAAAGGCGCACCAAGGCGACGAUCCUUAGCUGGUCUGAGAGGAUGAUCAGCCACACUGGGACUGAGACACGGCCCAGACUCCGACGGGAGGCAGCAGUGGGGAAUAUCGGACAAUGGGCGAAAGCCUGAUCCAGCAAUGCCGCGUGAGUGAUGAAGGCCUUAGGGUUGUAAAGCUCUUUUACCCGGGAUGAUAAUGACAGUACCGGGAGAAUAAGCUCCGGCUAACUCCGUGCCAGCAGCCGCGGUAA